GGGGCUGUAGCUCAGUUGGGAGAGCGCUUGCAUGGCAUGCAAGAGGUAGUGGGUUCGAACCCCAUCAGCUCCA
rnacentral:tRNA from 1 species